GAUGAACGCUGGCGGCGUGCCUAACACAUGCAAGUUGAGCGGACCAAUGCUCAUUUCAGCUUUGCUGAUUUGAGCAACGGUUAGCGGCGGACGGGUGAGUAACGCGUGGGCAACCUGCCCUGUGCAGGGGGAUAACACAGCGAAAGCUGUGCUAAUACCCCAUAAGACUACGCUAUCGCAUGAUAGAGUAGUCAAAGCUUUAGCGGCACAGGAUGGGCCCGCGUCUGAUUAGCUAGUUGGUGGGGUAACGGCCUACCAAGGCGACGAUCAGUAGCCGACCUGAGAGGGUGAUCGGCCACACUGGAACUGAGACACGGUCCAGACUCCUACGGGAGGCAGCAGUGGGGAAUAUUGCACAAUGGGGGAAACCCUGAUGCAGCAACGCCGCGUGAGCGAAGAAGGCCUUCGGGUCGUAAAGCUCUGUCCUAAGGGAAGAAGUAUGACGGUACCUUAGGAGGAAGCCCCGGCUAACUACGUGCCAGCAGCCGCGGUAAUACGUAGGGGGCGAGCGUUAUCCGGAAUCACUGGGCGUAAAGGGUGCGUAGGCGGCCGAGUAAGCCAGAGGUGAAAGGCUACGGCUUAACCGUAGUAAGCCUUUGGAACUACUUGGCUUGAGUGCAGGAGAGGAGAGUGGAAUUCCUAGUGUAGCGGUGAAAUGCGUAGAUAUUAGAGGAACACCAGUGGCGAAAGCGACUCUCUGGACUGUAACUGACGCUGAGGCACGAAAGCGUGGGGAGCAAACAGGAUUAGAUACCCUGGUAGUCCACGCCGUAAACGAUGAGUGCUAGGUGUCGGGGGUUCACACCCUCGGUGCCGGAGUUAACGCAAUAAGCACUCCGCUUGGGGA
rnacentral:rRNA from 1 species